rnacentral:tRNA from 1 species
GUGGGUAUAGCUCAAGUGGUAGAGCGAAUGCUUAACAUGCACAAGAUCCUGGGUUCGAUUCCCAGUACCUCCU